rnacentral:rRNA from 1 species
AGUGAACGCUGGCGGUGGGCCUAACACAUGCAAGUCGAACGGCCGCACAGUAAGCGCUUGCUCUUACUGUUGGCGAGUGGCGGGCGGGUGAGGCAUACAUCGCAAUCUACUUUUUCGUGGGGGAUAACGUGGGGCCACUUACGCUAAUACCGCAUACGACCUACGGGUUAAAGCAGGGGAUCUUCGCACCUUGCGCGUUUGAUUGAGCCGGUGCCGCAUUAGCUAGUUGGCUGGGUAAAGGCCCACCAAGGCGACGAUGCGUAGCUGAGCUGAGAGGAUGAUCAGCCACACUGGAACUGAGACACGGUCCAGACUCCUACGGGAGGCAGCAGUGGGGAAUAUUGGACAAUGGGCGAAAGCCUGACGGAGCAAUGCCGCGUGAGUGAAGAAGGUCUUCGGAUUGUAAAGCCCUGUUAUUAGGAAAGAAAAGCAGCGUGUUAAUAUGCGGAUGUCCUGACGGUACCUAAAGAAUAAGCACCGGCUAACUUCGUG